GGGCAAGAGACAGGAGGGGCUGAGCUGCUGGCGGGGGCGGGGUCUCAGAGAAAGGGGUCUCGGAGGUGGAGGCGGGGUCUCGGAGGUGGAGGCGGGGCCACGGAGGCGGGGCGGGCAUCUCAAAGGCGGGGUUGGGGGGUGUCUCAGAGGCGAGGCGGGGUCCCAGAGGCGAGGGUUGCCUGAACUUCGGGGCGUCACACUUGCUGCGGGUAGAUCCCGG
rnacentral:lncRNA from 1 species